rnacentral:rRNA from 1 species
UACGUAGGGUGCAGGCGUUAAUCGGAAUUACUGGGCGUAAAGCGUGCGCAGGCGGCUCCUUAAGUCAGAUGUGAAAUCCCCGGGCUUAACCUGGGAACUGCGUUUGAAACGGGGGAGCUCGAGUGUGGAAGAGGGGGGUGGAAUUCCAGGUGUAGCAGUGAAAUGCGUAGAGAUCUGGAGGAACACCGAUGGCGAAGGCAGCCCCCUGGGCUAACACUGACGCUCAUGCACGAAAGCGUGGGGAGCAAACAGG